AAUAAGUGCAGUUUUGCAUUAUUCACGUUCAACGUUUAACCGUUCGUUUUAUUUGAAAAUUUAUUAUGAUUAGUAUUUUUAUUGCUAUUAGAUGAUAAAACAUGAAUAGUACUUUAUGUGUGACUAAAUAUUUUCAAAUUUUUCAAAUAAGACGGACGGUCAAACGUUGGGUACGGAUAUCCACGGCUGCACUUAUU
rfam:Oryza glaberrima chromosome 7 Oglab07_0138_25, whole genome shotgun sequence.